rnacentral:tRNA from 1 species
AUUACUUUGGCAGAUUAGUGCGUUAAAUUUAGAAUUUAUUUAUGUAUAAUUUAUACAAGUAGUA